rnacentral:rRNA from 1 species
ACGCACGCUGGCGGCGUGCCUAAUACAUGCAAGUCGAACGCUUCUUUCCUCCCGAGUGCUUGCACUCAAUUGGAAAGAGGAGUGGCGGACGGGUGAGUAACACGUGGGUAACCUACCCAUCAGAGGGGGAUAACACUUUGAAACAGGUGCUAAUACCGCAUAACAGUUUAUGCCGCAUGGCAUAAGAGUGAAAGGCGCUUUCGGGUGUCGCUGAUGGAUGGACCCGCGGUGCAUUAGCUAGUUGGUGAGGUAACGGCUCACCAAGGCGACGAUGCAUAGCCGACCUGAGAGGGUGAUCGGCCACACUGGGACUGAGACACGGCCCAGACUCCUACGGGAGGCAGCAGUAGGGAAUCUUCGGCAAUGGACGAAAGUCUGACCGAGCAACGCCGCGUGAGUGAAGAAGGUUUUCGGAUCGUAAAACUCUGUUGUUAGAGAAGAACAAGGACGUUAGUAACUGAACGUCCCCUGACGGUAUCUAACCAGAAAGCCACGGCUAACUACGUG